GAUGGAAACAACUUACAAUGAUCCAAAAGGGAGACAUUAAGGCAAGAGGAAAUGUUAAUAUUUGAAACCAAGAUGAUAUUUCUAGAAAUAAAAUGGCUCCUUGUUUCGCUACCUGUCUCAGAAUUAUACUGAAUCCUGAAACAAAGCCGGGAACACCACUCAUGGCAACUCCCUAGCUGCAAGGAGAUUUGUUUUCAAAGCGCCUGACAAGCUACAUCCGAUUCAUCCUCAAAACCGACUUGUCAGGGGAAUAAAUACCAAGUGUCGGAACUUCCCGAGAAAUCUAGUGAUGAAAAGCCCUUUAACGAUGAACAAAUUAAAUUCAGUUCUAAUGCCAGGAACAGAAAGAAGGCAAAAUGAAGAGGUGCAGAAGAGUGAGCCCAGGUUCUGUAUAUUUGAUGAUCUAGGAUUUACAUCCACACCACUUCUGUUACCGAGAAUUAGAACAGAGGAGGCUUGGGUCUUGCUGGUGCGGACAUCUCCUAAUUCCAAACAUCUCCUAAAUCCAACAAGAAGAAAGAAGAUGAGAAGGUAGAGCAAAAAGAAGGGAGAAAGGGGAAGGGCGAAG
ensembl:lncRNA